AUGCAGCAGCAGGGACAGAGCAGAGGCCGAACGAGCUCUAGAGAGAGGCGCGAUACGGCGGGCGGCGCAGAACCGCCGCGCGGCCAGGAGCAGCGCAUCGAGGAGCUGCGACGCCAGGCCGAGCCCGAGGAGCGCGGGGCCCGGAGGGAGACUGGAUCUUCCGGCAGAGCAUCUGCGCGCGCAGAGGGACUCGGCGGCCAUGGCCGAGGGAGCAGGGAAGGAGUACCGCGGCGAGCAGAGAGGAGCGAGGAGCAGAGGCUGGGCGAGUCCCGGCGUGCAGGGAGGGAUCCAGGGGAGCCGCCAUGGGAGGGGCAAGGAAGAAGGGCGCGCCGGCCAUGGAUGGAGAUGGCGAGGAACUCGGCUGGAGGGGGCGUCGCGAGGAAGGGUGACGCGCUGGAGAUAGUCGGCGGUGCGAGCAGGGAAGAAGCAAAGGGAUGA
rnacentral:lncRNA from 1 species